GAAUAUAUUUAAAAAUCACCGCAGCUUUUUAAUAUUGUCCCAACAAGGCUGUGCAAGAAACAAUCAGGAAAGCUCAGCAGCAUAAAACUAUGAGAAAACUGGGUCUGAGAAUCCAGAAAUCCUGAGUGAGUAAAGGGAAAAUUUUCACUUCUUCCUGUGGAAGCCUGUCACCCCCCAACUCCAUCCUAGGCUGAGGAAGUCUGCGUUCUUCUCUCACGGAGCUGGAGAACCUUUCAAGGACCCAUCACCUCCUGCAGCCUGUCCAGAAAACUUAAAGAUUGGGUGACACAUGAAGAUGCCGGACCUCUCGUGGGGAUGAUGUGCUAAGCCUCAAACUUCUACUAUCUUCACAAAUGGACUCAAAGACUCUGGAUUUUCUAAGGUGGAGUCUCAUUCUGUCUCCCAGGCUGGAGUGCAAUGGCGUGAUCUCGGCUCACUGCAACCUCCGCCCCCUGGGUUGAAGCAAUUCUCCUGCCUCAGCCUCCUGGGUAGCUGGGAUUACAGCAACAUGGAUGGAACUGGAGUCCAUUAUCUUAAGUGAAACAACUCAGAAACAGAAAGACAUUGCAUGUUCUCACUUAUAAGUGGGAGUUGAAUAAUAUGGACCCAGGGACAUAGAAUGCAAAAUAAUAGACGCUGGAGACUUGGAGGUGUAAACAGAGUCCAAAAAACUAUUAUGCUGCUGGGGAGACCGCAAGGACAAAAGCGGAGACUAUCUGAAAAACAAAGUCAUGGACUCCUACGGCUGGAGAGGACCCAGAGCCUCCCCCAACCUUCCUCUCCUCCCCUCUGCCUGCUGCCAGAUCGCACCUGACCCGCCCAGGAAAAUGGGCCUCUUUGCUUUUUGAAGAACUCCAGAGGAGAGCCCCUGAUCUCCCUUGAUAACUUAUCCCAAGUCUGAUAUCCUCAUUGGCAGAGAUUAUUUUCCAGCUUAAAUCACUCGUGUGGAAGCCGAAGCUCAUUUCCUUUUGUUCUGUCCUCGCUGGAGAUGGUGAACAGCUGGUCUCCAUUCUCGGAGGAAUAUCGCUUUAAACCUUGCAGGCCAUUGUUAAGUGGCCUCUAGGCUUUCUCUUCUUCUGACUAAGAAUCAUAGCUUCUUUUCCCCAUUCCUCAUGGGUCCUAUUUUCCAGCCCCUCUCACAUCUUUAUUCUUUGAAUGCGCUCAGGUUUUUCUAAGAUAUUCCCCUUUGGAAGAUGUUUGAAGGAAAACAACAGAAGGGUCUUUAGAUGUACUAAGUACUGGCAGUCCCUCUCUCCUUACCACAAGCCUCGCUGUUUCCACUGGUUGAGUGGCUUCUGGGGCCUUGCCUUCCUGGGGCCAGGCUGUGCGCGAGGACCGAGCAGCCAGUCCUGUGUUGAGCUCAUUGGCUUGACCACAGGCCAGUGCUGUCCCAAAGAGCAAGAGGCCCCAGCACAGCUGGGGGCUCACCUGAACUGAAAAUCAUGUCUGACAUUUGUACAGCUCUUAAAUACUUACUAAAUAGAGAAUCAUCAGCCUGGGCAACAUAGUGAGACCCUAUCUCUAAAAAAAUAAUAACUUGCGGUCCUAGCUAUUUGGGAGGCUGAGGUGGGAGGAUCACUUGAGCCCAGGAGCUCAAGGCUGCAGUGAGCUAUGACUGAGCAACUGUACUCCAGUAUGGGCAACAGAGCAAGACCCUGUCUCUAAAUAACUAAAUAAAUAG